rnacentral:rRNA from 1 species
GAUGAACGCUAGCUACAGGCUUAACACAUGCGAGUCGAGGGGUAACAAGAGAAAAGCUUGCUUUUCUUGUUGACGACCGGCGCACGGGUGAGUAACGCGUAUCCAACCCGCCUACAACUAGGGAAUAACCUUGCGAAAGUAAGACUAAUACCCUAUGAUUUCCUUUGAUGACAUCAGAUUAGGAAUAAAGAUUUAUCGGUUAUAGAUGGGGAUGCGUCUGAUUAGCUUGUUGGCGGGGUAACGGCCCACCAAGGCAAAGAUCAGUAGGGGUUCUGAGAGGAAGGUCCCCCACAUUGGAACUGAGACACGGUCCAAACGCCUACGGGAGGCAGCAGUGAGGAAUAUUGGUCAAUGGGCGGAAGCCUGAACCAGCCAAGUAGCGCGCAGGAUGACGGCCCUAUGGGUUGUAAACUGCUUUUAUACAGGAAUAAAGUUAGCCACGUGUGGUUAUUUGUAGGUACUGUAUGAAUAAGGACCGGCUAAUUCCGUGCCAGCAGCCGCGGUAA